GUUUAAUUCGAUGCAACGCGAAAAACCUUACCCACCUUUGACAUGUACGGAAUCCUUUAGAGAUAGAGGAGUGCUCGAAAGAGAGCCGUAACACAGGUGCUGCAUGGCUGUCGUCAGCUCGUGUCGUGAGAUGUUGGGUUAAGUCCCGCAACGAGCGCAACCCUUGCCAUUAGUUGCUACGAAAGGGCACUCUAAUGGGACUGCCGGUGACAAACCGGAGGAAGGUGGGGAUGACGUCAAGUCCUCAUGGCCCUUAUAGGUGGGGCUACACACGUCAUACAAUGGCUGGUACAGAGGGUUGCCAACCCGCGAGGGGGAGCUAAUCCCACAAAGCCAGUCGUAGUCCGGAUCGCAGUCUGCAACUCGACUGCGUGAAGUCGGAAUCGCUAGUAAUCGCGGAUCAGAAUGUCGCGGUGAAUACGUUCCCGGGUCUUGUACACACCG
rnacentral:rRNA from 1 species